AACGACUCUCGGCAACGGAUAUCUCGGCUCUCGCAUCGAUGAAGAACGUAGCGAAAUGCGAUACUUGGUGUGAAUUGCAGAAUCCCGUGAACCAUCGAGUCUUUGAACGCAAGUUGCGCCCCAAGCCGUUAGGCUGAGGGCACGUCUGCCUGGGUGUCACGC
rnacentral:rRNA from 1 species